CUACGGGCUGCUCCAGUUAGGAAUAAUCUACAAUGCGCGCAAGCGUGAUAGUUUGAGCCAGAGUGCUUUUCUAUUUGAAAAGCUUUUGCCGAGUGUAAAAAGCUCGGCGAAUAAGGACUGGGUAAGACGAGUGCCAGCCGCCGCGGUAAUACUCGCGGUCCAAGUCGCAGCCAUUUUUAUUGGGUCUAAAACAUCCGUAGCUUGCUUUGUAAGUUUCUUGUGAAAUUCUGCAUCUUAAACGCAGAGCGGGCAAGAAAUACUGCAGAGCUAGAGACUGGGAGGCGUAAGAAGUACGUUCGAAGUAGCGGUAAAAUGUUUUAAUCUCGAACGGACUAACAAUUAGCGAAGGCAUCUUACGAGAACAGUUCUGACAGUAAGGGAUGAAGGCCAGGGGCGCAAAACGGAUUAGAUACCCCCGUAGUC
rnacentral:rRNA from 1 species